rnacentral:lncRNA from 1 species
UACACCAUCUUCGUUACCUUGCACUCAUUCAAAACAACUUCAUCUCAGCUACAAUUCCUUCAGAAUUUGGGAAUCUCAGCAGGUUAGAGGCCUUAUCUCUUAGGAAUAAUAGCUUUGUAGGCCAAGUUCCUUCCUCAUUUAACAGCCUAAGCCUUCUUUCCGUUUUAGAACUUUCCCUAAACGAGCUCACUGGUAGUUUCCCACUUGUGAGGAAUCUAACAAAGCUCUCGGCUUUAAGCCUUGCUGCGAAUCAUUUCUAUGGAACUCUGAAUCCUAAGAGUACUAGCCUGUUUGAGUUGCGCCACCUCCGUUACCUUGAUCUAAGUCAAAACAACUUCACCUCAUCACUCCCUUCUGAAUUUGGAAAUCUCAACAGACUAGAGAUCUUGGCUCUUUCCUCCAAUGACUUUUUCGGGCAAGUUCCUCCCACAAUUAGUAACCUAACCUCGUUAGAGGAAUUGAACCUUCACCACAACCAACUCACUGGUAGUUUCUCACUUGUUCAAAACCUAACCAUGCUUUCAGUUAUAGCAAUCAAUCAUAAUCACUUCUCUGGAGCCAUUCCAUCUUCUCUCUUCACCAUGCCUUUCUUAUCAUAUCUCGAGCUGAGAGACAACGAUCUCACUGAUUCUGUUGAAGUUUACAACUCCUCAUCUACCCUGUCUAGGCUCGAGUACUUGUCCCUUGGGAAUAACCAUUUUGAAGGAAAAAUCAUAGAGCCUAUCUCAAAACUCAUCAGCGUCAAGAUUCUUGACCUUUCUUUCCUUAACACAAGUUACCCGAUUGAUGUAAGCCUCUUCUCCACGCUGAAAGAUUUGGUGGACCUUGAUCUUUCCGGUAAUAGUAUAUCUCCGGCCAGUUUAGGUUCAAAUUUAGACAUCCCAACAAACCUGGAGAUUUUGUUGUUACGAGGUUGCGGCAUCAAAGAGUUCCCAAAUAUCUUUAAGAUCCUUGAGAAGUUGGAGAAUAUAGACUUGUCCGACAACAUAAUCAAAGGCGAGGUCCCGGAGUGGUUAUGGAAGCUUCCUCGUCUAAACACAGUGUUUCUUUCAAAUAAUUCGUUUAAUGGUUUGGAAGGUCCAGUGGAUGUUUUGGUAAAUUCAUCUGUGAAGAAUUUAUUUAUGGAGCGAAACUAUUUUGAAGGAGCAGUUCCUAUUCUACCACUCUCCAUCAACAACUUUGCUGCGACAAUCAAUAGAUUCACAGGGAGAAUACCUCUUUCAAUAUGCAAUUGUAGGUCGCUUACGCAUUUAUGGCUUCCUUACAACAACCUCACGGGUCCAAUCCCUCAAUGCUUGAGUAACUUGACGGUUUUGAAUCUCCGGAAGAACAACUUGGAAGGAAGUAUCCUUGAGGCAUUUUAUGUCGGUGCUUCUCUACAAACACUUGAUGUUGGACACAAUCGACUAACCGGGAAACUUCCAAGAUCUCUUCAGAAUUGUUCAUCUCUCGAGUUUCUAGCUGUUGACCACAACAUAAUCAAAGACAAGUUUCCUUUUUGGCUCAAGGCUUUACCAAAUUUGCAAGUCCUUAUCCUCAGUUCAAACAAAUUCUAUGGAUCUAUAUCUCCUCCUGGUCAAGGUCCUCUCGGGUUUCCAGAGCUGCGUAUAUUUGAGAUAGCUGAUAAUAAGUUUACUGGAAGCUUGCAACCGAGAUAAUUUGUCAAUUGGAAAGCAUCGUCCCUUAUGAUGAAUGAAGAUGGUGGUCUAUAUAUCGCACGGGAACUCAUUUUAUAAAAAAUAUAUUAUAAUCUAUAAUAUAUAAUUUUAUAUGCCUGAUAAAAAAAUUAAACCAUAUAAAUAAUUAAAUUUAAUUUUGAUGAUUAAAAUAUGAUUUACAAAGUAUUCAAAUAUAUAUAUAUAAAAAAUAUAUAUAUAUAUUUUAUAAACCUUAAUAUUCCCUUUAAUUUUUUAUCAAAACACAUAUUGCAUACAAUUGUGUCUUCAUUCUUUUUAAAUUUUUUCAUACAUUUUUCACAUGAUAGUUAUCUUCAACCACUUUUUGAACAAAAUGCAAUUUUUUUUUUUGCAUGAUAUAUAAUUUUUUUCCUAUUUAAGACAUAAUAUUAAAAUUAUUAGUUUAUAAUUUUAAACAAUUAUAAUUUGUAUGUUGGUAAUUGUUAUUUUGUAUAUUUAUCUACCUGCUUUAUUUAUUGAAAAUGAAUAUUCAGAAAAUUGAAUAUUGUAAUAAAUAUAUGUUGAUUUACGUUAAUAUGACAUGUCUCAUUUAAAAUAUUUUUUUUUUAAUUUUUGGGAGAGUUCUCAUAAAAUACCAACACUUAUUAUAUAAACUAACACAUUACUUAAAUAAAACCUAUAUUUUUUAAAGCAAUCCCACUUUGAGGUGAAAAGACACUUUGUUUAGAUGAAAAAUUGCAACUUUGACAUUAUUUUUUUCACCAUUUUAUUAUUAGUAGAUUAGUGAAAAUUUGAUUUGAAAAAUGUAUGGGAGAGACUAUUUAUAGAUUUUUUAAAGUCUAUUUGAAUAGUCACAACCCUUCAAUAUGAAUAGUUGCAUUCUUUUAACACUCACAACUUCUCAUUUUUUAAAAGAUACUAGUGAAUAGUCACAACUUUUAGACUAUUUUUAGAAGGACACAACCUUACAACAUAUAACUUUUAGAAAAGACACAACUCUCUACACAUAUUUUUCAAAAGACACAACCUUUCAACAUAAUUGAAGUUCACAACCUUAGGAAUUAAUUGGAAAAGACACAACCUUACUACAUAGAACUUUUAGAAAAGACACAACCCUUUACACUACUUUUUCAAAAGACACAACCUUUCAACAUAAGUGUAUUCACAACCUUAGAAAUUAAUUGUAAAAGACACAACCUUCCAACAUAGAACUUUUAGAAAAGACACAACCCUUUACACUUCUUUUUCAAAAGAUACAAUCUUUCAACAUAAGUGGACUCACAACCUUUAGAAUUAAUUGGGAUUGCUAUUAUUAGCAGAUAAGAAACUCUUGUGAGAAAGUGUACUGCUAAUGAUGCUCUUAGUGGGCGACACAUGUAGGGUCUUCUGAUGUCUUUCCCAAGUUAUACGUUUGAAAAAUCAAGUAACUUUAGCGCCAUUAAGUUCUCCAAUCAAAAAUAGCGUAGCUCUCUAUCUUUUUCCAAGUCACGUUGUGUGUGGUGACAUAUCUUUAUUUAUACCACCAACCCUCUCUCUCAUUUUUCUUAAACCAAAACAAUUCUUCUUCAAUACUUUUUCAUAAAGACCAUGUCUGAAUCCCAUUUGCAUUUGCAUUUUCUCUCGCUACUUUUGCUCUGUUAUGUCUCCCCUUCAAGCUUCUCCAGUUUAAACAUCGACUAUAGUAGCUAUGUUGCUUGUCGUCCCUAUCAAACUCAAGUUCUCACUGAGUUCAUGAACGAGUUUGAUAGCAGCCACUGCAACCUCAGUGAUCCCUAUAACAGAGUCUGGUGCGAUAACUCUACCGGUGCGGUCACAAUGCUACGACUAAGAGCCUGCCUCAGUGGAAACCUUAAGCCCAACAGUAGCUUAUUCAGGUUACAUCAUCUUCGUUACCUUGACCUCUAUCAAAACAACUUCAUCUCAGCUACACUUCCUUCUGAAUUUGACAAUCUCAACAGGUUAGAGGUCUUAUAUCUUUCCAAUAAUAGCUUUGUAGGCCAAGUUCCUUCCUCAUUUAAUAACCUAAGCCUUCUUUCCUAUUUAGACCUUUCCCAAAAUGAUCUCACCGGUAGUUUCCCACUCUUACGGAAUCUAUCAAAGCUCUCGUUUUUAGACCUUAACAAUAAUCAUUUCUCUGGAACUCUGAAUCCAAACAUUACUAGCCUGUUUGAGUUGUACAACCUCCGUUACCUUGAUCUAAG